rnacentral:rRNA from 1 species
GACGAACGCUGGCGGCGUGCUUAACACAUGCAAGUCGAACGGAAAGGCCCUGCUUUUGUGGGGUGCUCGAGUGGCGAACGGGUGAGUAACAUGUGAGUAACCUGCCCUUGACGGUGGGAUAACUUCAGGAAACUGGGGCUAAUACCGGAUAGGUGAGGCUGAUGCAUGGGGGGGGUUGGACCGUUUAGGCGGUGGGGGAUGGACGCGCGGGUAAUCAGCUUGUUGGGGGAGUAGUGGCUUACCCAGGCUUUGACGGGUAGCCGGCAUGAGAGGGGGGACAGCGACCUGAGUACUACGAUACGGCGCAGACGGCUACGUGAGGCAGCAGGGGGGAGUAUGAUACAACGGGCCGGAGCGUGUUGCGACAACGCCGCGAGCGGGAUGACGGCCUUCUGGUUGUAAACCGCUGUCGCCUGUGACGAAGCGGGAGUGACGGUAAUGGGUGAAGAAGCACCGGCUAACUACGUG